rnacentral:rRNA from 1 species
AGCGAACGCUGGCGGCAGGCCUAACACAUGCAAGUCGAACGAACUCUUCGGAGUUAGUGGCGGACGGGUGGGUAACACGUGGGAACGUGCCUUUAGGUUCGGAAUAACUCAGGGAAACUUGUGCUAAUACCGAAUGUGCCCUUCGGGGGAAAGAUUUAUCGCCUUUAGAGCGGCCCGCGUCUGAUUAGCUAGUUGGUGAGGUAAAGGCUCACCAAGGCGACGAUCAGUAGCUGGUCUGAGAGGAUGAUCAGCCACAUUGGGACUGAGACACGGCCCAAACUCCUACGGGAGGCAGCAGUGGGGAAUCUUGCGCAAUGGGCGAAAGCCUGACGCAGCCAUGCCGCGUGAAUGACGAAGGUCUUAGGAUUGUAAAAUUCUUUCACCGGGGACGAUAAUGACGGUACCCGGAGAAGAAGCCCCGGCUAACUUCGUGCCAGCAGCCGCAGUAACAC